rnacentral:rRNA from 1 species
GUCUCUGGUCAUUCCAUUCCAAAUGCCCCUGACCUGGUCUGAUCUCAGAAGCUAAGUAGGGUCAGAUUGGUUAGUAUUUGAAUAGAGGAAGUUGUAGAGGCAUAAAAAUAAGCAUAAACU